GUCACGAGACCGAGAAGGGAAGAAGGAUCAAGAUCCUCGGGAGAGUCCUUUUUGCCUCUGUUUUCAUUCUCUCUGCAUGGCAAGAAGCUCUGGGAAAUCUUCAAUGUUGGAGAGUGUUGUUGGAAAGGACUUUUUGCCUCGUGGAUCUGGAAUUGUUACCAGACAUCCUCUUGUCCUACAACUUCAUAGGAUUGAUGAAGGAAGAGAAUAUGCAGAAUUCAUUCACCU